rnacentral:sRNA from 1 species
GCCGUGAGGUGUUGCCUUAAGUGGCGCAACGAGCGCAACCCCUGUCCUUAGUUGCCAGCGGAUCAUGCCGGGAACUCUAGGGAGACUGCCGGUGCCAAACCGGAGGAAGGUGGGGAUGACGUCAAGUCAGCAUGCCCCUUAUAUCCAGGGCUGCACGCAUGCUACAAUGCGCGAUACAAAGGGCUGCGAUCCCGUAAGGGGGAGCGAAUCCCAAAAAGUCGCGCUCAGUUCGGAUCGAGGUCUGCAACUCGACCUCGUGAAGUCGGAGUCGCUAGUAAUCGCAGAUCAGCAAUGCUGCGGUGAAUACGUUCCCGGGCCUUGUACACACCGCCCGUCACACCACGAAAGUGGGCAACACCCGAAGCCGGUGGCCUAACCCUUGUGGAGGGAGCCGUCGAAGGUGGGGCUCGCGAUUGGGGUGAAGUCGUAACAAGGUAGCCGUACCGGAAGGUGCGGCUGGAUCACCUCCUUUCUAAGGAGCCGUUGGCAACCCCCGUGAGCAUGGACAUCAGUUCCGUGUUCUGUAGUUGGGGAGACUCCAGGUCGAUGGCACUGGCUCCCGCCGGCACACACUGCCGGCGGGCACACUGUUCAGCUUUGAGGGUGCGAAUCCUCGAGCACCUUGAGAACUCGAUAGCGAGCGCGAGCAUCUAUUAGUCAAGUUAUGAAGGGCUUACGGUGGAUGCCUUGGCGCCAGGAGCCGAUGAAGGACGCGUCAGGCUGCGAAAAGCUUCGGGGAGCCGCCUAGAGGGCUUUGAUUCGGAGGUGU